CUGCUGCCUCCCGUAGGAGUCUGGGCCGUGUCUCAGUCCCAGUGUGGGGGGCCUCCCUCUCAGAACCCCUACGCAUCGUCGCCACGGUGGGCCGUCACCCCGCCGUCUAGCUAAUGCGCCGCAUGCCCAUCCGCCACCGGAUCGCUCCUUUGGCCACCGGAGGAUGCCCUCCGGUGGCGUCACGGGGUAUUAGGCCGCGUUUCCGCGGGUUAUCCCCCUGUGGCGGCCAGGUUGCAUACGUGUUACUCACCCGUGCGCCGGUCGCCGGG
rnacentral:rRNA from 1 species